rnacentral:rRNA from 1 species
UACGGGGGGGGCAAGCGUUGUUCGGAAUUACUGGGCGUAAAGGGCUCGUAGGCGGCCAACUAAGUCCGACGUGAAAUCCCAAGGUUUAACCUUGGAACUGCGUCGGAUACUGGAUGGCUUGAAUUCGGGAGAGGGAUGCAGAAUUCCAGGUGUAGCGGUGAAAUGCGUAGAUAUCUGGAGGAAUACCGGUGGCGAAGGCGGCAUCCUGGACCGACAUUGACGCUGAGGAGCGAAAGCUAGGGGAGCAAACGGG